GACGAACGCUGGCGGCGUGCUUAACACAUGCAAGUCGAACGGAAAGGCCCUGCUUUUGUGGGGUGCUCGAGUGGCGAACGGGUGAGUAACACGUGAGUAACCUGCCCUUGACUUUGGGAUAACUUCAGGAAACUGGGGCUAAUACCGGAUAGGAGCUCCUGCUGCAUGGUGGGGGUUGGAAAGUUUCGGCGGUUGGGGAUGGACUGGCGGCUUAUCAGCUUGUUGGUGGGGUAGUGGCUUACCAAGGCUUUGACGGGUAGCCGGCCUGAGAGGGUGACCGGCCACAUUGGGACUGAGAUACGGCCCAGACUCCUACAGGAGGCAGCAGUGGGGAAUAUUGCACAAUGGGCGGAAGCCUGAUGCAGCAACGCCGCGUGCGGGAUGACGGCCUUCGGGUUGUAAACCGCUUUCGCCUGUGACGAAGCGUGAGUGACGGUAAUGGGUAAAGAAGCACCGGCUAACUACGUG
rnacentral:rRNA from 1 species